GACGAACCGUGCGAACGUUAUUCGGAAUCACUGGGCUUAAAGCGCGUGUAGGCGGAUGGGAACGUCGGUAGUUGAAAGCCCCCGGCUCAACCGGGGAAGUGGUGCCGAAACGACCCGUCUGGAGGGACGUAGGGGGGACCUGGAACUUCCGGUGGAGCGGUGAAAUGCGUUGAGAUCGGAAGGAACGCCCGUGGCGAAAGCGAGGUCCUGGACGUCUACUGACGCUGAGACGCGAAAAGCUGAGGGGAGCAAACGGG
rnacentral:rRNA from 1 species